rnacentral:lncRNA from 1 species
GGCCUGCCCACGCCCUACCUAGUCCGCUGACAAUGAUGCAGGUCUGAAUGUGAUGUGUAUAGUGGAAGUGAAUUAGAAUGUGUGUAAUGGAUGUAGUGUUUGUGUGUAUUAGAUACUGUUUGUGCAGUGAAUGCAGAGUGUGUGCUUGUGUAGCGGAUGCAGUGAGUAUAGUGAACGCAGAAUGUUUGAGUAGUGGAUGUAGUGUGUGUUUGUGUAG